GUAAUAAUCCUGUAGUCGAAAAUGUUGUCUCUCUUGAGUGGAUCCUGAGUACGACGGAGCACGUGAAAUUCCGUCGGAAUCUGGGAGGACCAUCUCCUAAGGCUAAAUACUCUCUAGUGACCGAUAGUGAACCAGUACCGUGAGGGAAAGGUGAAAAGCACCCCGGAAGGGGAGUGAAAUAGAACCUGAAACCGUGUGCUUACAAGUAGUCAGAGCCCGUUAAUGGGUGAUGGCGUGCCUUUUGUAGAAUGAACCGGCGAGUUACGAUUUGAUGCAAGGUUAAGCAGUAAAUGUGGAGCCGUAGCGAAAGCGAGUCUGAAUAGGGCGUUUAGUAUUUGGUCGUAGACCCGAAACCAGGUGAUCUACCCUUGGUCAGGUUGAAGUUCAGGUAACACUGAAUGGAGGACCGAACCGACUUACGUUGAAAAGUGAGCGGAUGAACUGAGGGUAGCGGAGAAAUUCCAAUCGAACCUGGAGAUAGCUGGUUCUCUCCGAAAUAGCUUUAGGGCUAGCCUCAAGUGAUGAUUAUUGGAGGUAGAGCACUGUUUGGACGAGGGGCCCCUCUCGGGUUACCGAAUUCAGACAAACUCCGAAUGCCAAUUAAUUUAACUUGGGAGUCAGAACAUGGGUGAUAAGGUCCGUGUUCGAAAGGGAAACAGCCCAGACCACCAGCUAAGGUCCCAAAAUAUAUGUUAAGUGGAAAAGGAUGUGGCGUUGCCCAGACAACUAGGAUGUUGGCUUAGAAGCAGCCAUCAUUUAAAGAGUGCGUAAUAGCUCACUAGUCGAGUGACACUGCGCCGAAAAUGUACCGGGGCUAAACAUAUUACCGAAGCUGUGGAUUGUCCUUUGGACAAUGGUAGGAGAGCGUUCUAAGGGCGUUGAAGCAUGAUCGUAAGGACAUGUGGAGCGCUUAGAAGUGAGAAUGCCGGUGUGAGUAGCGAAAGACGGGUGAGAAUCCCGUCCACCGAUUGACUAAGGUUUCCAGAGGAAGGCUCGUCCGCUCUGGGUUAGUCGGGUCCUAAGCUGAGGCCGACAGGCGUAGGCGAUGGAUAACAGGUUGAUAUUCCUGUACCACCUAUAAUCGUUUUAAUCGAUGGGGGGACGCAGUAGGAUAGGCGAAGCGUGCGAUUGGAUUGCACGUCUAAGCAGUAAGGCUGAGUAUUAGGCAAAUCCGGUACUCGUUAAGGCUGAGCUGUGAUGGGGAGAAGACAUUGUGUCUUCGAGUCGUUGAUUUCACACUGCCGAGAAAAGCCUCUAGAUAGAAAAUAGGUGCCCGUACCGCAAACCGACACAGGUAGUCAAGAUGAGAAUUCUAAGGUGAGCGAGCGAACUCUCGUUAAGGAACUCGGCAAAAUGACCCCGUAACUUCGGGAGAAGGGGUGCUCUUUAGGGUUAACGCCCAGAAGAGCCGCAGUGAAUAGGCCCAAGCGACUGUUUAUCAAAAACACAGGUCUCUGCUAAACCGUAAGGUGAUGUAUAGGGGCUGACGCCUGCCCGGUGCUGGAAGGUUAAGAGGAGUGGUUAGCUUCUGCGAAGCUACGAAUCGAAGCCCCAGUAAACGGCGGCCGUAACUAUAACGGUCCUAAGGUAGCGAAAUUCCUUGUCGGGUAAGUUCCGACCCGCACGAAAGGCGUAACGAUUUGGGCACUGUCUCAACGAGAGACUCGGUGAAAUCAUAGUACCUGUGAAGAUGCAGGUUACCCGCGACAGGACGGAAAGACCCCGUGGAGCUUUACUGUAGCCUGAUAUUGAAAUUCGGCACAGCUUGUACAGGAUAGGUAGGAGCCUUUGAAACGUGAGCGCUAGCUUACGUGGAGGCGCUGGUGGGAUACUACCCUAGCUGUGUUGGCUUUCUAACCCGCACCACUUAUCGUGGUGGGAGACAGUGUCAGGCGGGCAGUUUGACUGGGGCGGUCGCCUCCUAAAAGGUAACGGAGGCGCUCAAAGGUUCCCUCAGAAUGGUUGGAAAUCAUUCAUAGAGUGUAAAGGCAUAAGGGAGCUUGACUGCGAGACCUACAAGUCGAGCAGGGUCGAAAGACGGACUUAGUGAUCCGGUGGUUCCGCAUGGAAGGGCCAUCGCUCAACGGAUAAAAGCUACCCCGGGGAUAACAGGCUUAUCUCCCCCAAGAGUUCACAUCGACGGGGAGGUUUGGCACCUCGAUGUCGGCUCAUCGCAUCCUGGGGCUGUAGUCGGUCCCAAGGGUUGGGCUGUUCGCCCAUUAAAGCGGUACGCGAGCUGGGUUCAGAACGUCGUGAGACAGUUCGGUCCCUAUCCGUCGUGGGCGUAGGAAAUUUGAGAGGAGCUGUCCUUAGUACGAGAGGACCGGGAUGGACAUACCUCUGGUGUACCAGUUGUCGUGCCAACGGCAUAGCUGGGUAGCUAUGUGUGGACGGGAUAAGUGCUGAAAGCAUCUAAGCAUGAAGCCCCCCUCAAGAUGAGAUUUCCCAACUUCGGUUAUAAGAUCCCUCAAAGAUGAUGAGGUUAAUAGGUUCGAGGUGGAAGCAUGGUGACAUGUGGAGCUGACGAAUACUAAUCGAUCGAAGACUUAAUCAA
rnacentral:rRNA from 1 species